AGCGUCUUAAGAUCCAUCACCAAACACAUAUUGCGAUCAAAAAUAGAGAACACAUGCGAGAACACAAACUGCUUAAAUACUAAUACCCGAGUAAAGAGGAGAGAUGAGCGAUCCUACCACCUGUCCCCCUCGGAGGCCCCGACGCUCCUCCCGUAGCGGUUCCCCCCCUCGUAGCCGCCUCCGUAGCCACCGCGGGACUGGGCCUCGUUCACGGUGAUGCUCCUCCCGUCGAGGCUCUUCCCAUUCAUCCCCUCGAUCGCGUCCCGCAUCGACUGCUCGUUGGCGAAGGUGACGAACCCGAACCCCCUCGACCUCCCCGUCUCCCGAUCGUUGAUGAUCUGCACCCCCGAUUAGCAAAUCUCAACGAUCCGAUCCGCGAUCAACAAGCUCAGAUCCAGAUCUCGUAGUCUCAGAUCUCAGAUCUCAGAUCCACGAGAUCUGGAUCUCAAAUCCACACCAAAAUCAAAUCGAAACAGGGAAAAGGGAUUAGGGAUCAGGGAUCGAACCUUAGACUCCAGGAUCUCACCAAAGGGUCGGAACGCCUCCUCGAGGGUGUGGCUAUCGGUGGCCCACGCGAGGCCGCCGACGAAGCAGCGGAACUCCACCUCGGUCGUCGCCAUAGAAACCCUAGAUCGGACGUACGACAGAGAAGGGAGAAUCGGGGAGAGGGGGAGGAGAUCCAACCCACCUC
rnacentral:lncRNA from 1 species